rnacentral:rRNA from 1 species
AUGUUUGCUCCCAAGCUUGAGAAGAUCAGGAUAUGGGGUUCUUGGGGCCUUAGGCGCCUCCCGGCUGUGGGCCUCCACCAUGGAAUCAAUCUUCCCAUUGUGGACUAUGAGAAGGACUUGUGGGACAGGCUAGAGUGGAACGGUCUGGAGGCCGGGCACCACCCGUCACUCUUUGAGACACAUCACUCAUGGUAUUACAAGAAGGCAUUGCCUCGAGUCUCGGUCCUCUGUUGA